rnacentral:rRNA from 1 species
AUUGAACGCUGGCGGCAGGCCUAACACAUGCAAGUCGAGCGGAUGAGGGGAGCUUGCUCCCUGAUUUAGCGGCGGACGGGUGAGUAAUGCGUAGGAAGCUGCCCGAUAGAGGGGGAUACCAGUUGGAAACGACUGUUAAUACCGCAUAAUGUCUACGGACCAAAGUGUGGGACCUUCGGGCCACAUGCUAUCGGAUGCACCUACGUGGGAUUAGCUAGUUGGUGAGGUAAUGGCUCACCAAGGCGACGAUCUCUAGCUGGUUUGAGAGGAUGAUCAGCCACACUGGAACUGAGCCACGGUCCAGCCGCCUACGGGAGGCAGCAGUGGGGAAUAUUGGACAAUGGGCGCAAGCCUGAUUCAGCCAUGCCGCGUGUGUGAAGAAGGCCUUCGGGUUGUAAAGCACUUUCAGCGAGGAGGAAGGGUGGUGUGUUAAUAGCACAUCAUCUUGACGUUACUCGCAGAAGAAGCACCGGCUAACUCUGUGCCAGCAGCCGCCGUAACAC